GGCCUUGUAGUCUAGAGGUACGAUACUUGCUUUGGGGUUCAAUUUGCAAGUGGCCUGGGUUCGAAUCCCAGCAAGGCCC